CUUCUCUUUAACAGAAGUUUACAAUGGAUUUUUCAAAUUAUUCUUCUCGUAUAAUGUCUUAUGUUAAUUGUUUUCCAUUUUUGCUGGGCCUUCUAUUUUUCAUGUUUCUUAUCAUUUUUAUGUUUUGUUUUUAAAUUAUUAUUGCUCUCUCCUAAAUUGCCAUUUUCACGGAUCUCCUUUCCUCUCACCGUUCAUUCCUUCGUCCCUCCAAUGUCUCCUCAUCUCUGCUCCCUCCUCAUCUAAAUUCGCGCAAACUGAAUUAAUGUGCCAGCUAAUCAGGAUCUGGUCGGAUUUCACUCUGUCCU